UCUUCGGUAUAUUGGAAAUGCGGGGGGGAUCGAUUCUCUCAUUAGGGAGAGACCGAGUGCACGACUAGUUGCUGCUUCUGCUUCUACUGCUGUUGCUCUUUGUCGAGACCGACCGGACACGGUUACUAUAACAUAGCUAAAGCGGUGUAUACAAUACCCGCGACCGAUGUCGAUUCGAUGCCAAAGACUAUAAUAUCGUGUUAAUAUCGUCAGAGU